rnacentral:lncRNA from 1 species
CCCACAAUAAAUUAUACAUAAAAUUCAUAUAUCCAGUAUCUAAAAUCCAAUACCCAAAAUCCAACAUCCAACAUCCAAUAAAUCAUACAUAAAUCAUAAUAAACUUGACUAAUUAAAUCGACUAAUUUACAUCUCAAAACUUGAACCUAAACCCAUCAAAAUCCCACUUCCUGCCAGUAGCUGUCCUUGAAGCUUUUUCUAAUCCUAAAGUAAAAUAAACAAUUCACAUGUCGAUCAAUAAAACAAAAAAUUAUAAAUAAGGUAAUGAAUUGAGGAAAUGCAUGUCUUAAUCUGGUACUGAGGUCACAACAUUUGUACAGGAAAGUUGGAGGAGUUUGGAUACAUCAAUGGACCAUUUCAGUCCUUGGCUAUGCCUCUGCUUCCAACUACCAAGUCCAUAUAAAAACAUAAGAAUCCUAAGCAAUAAUGGAAUGAGCCACAGGCGAAGAAGCUACAGCCACAUUACUAACCUGUUCAGCAGUUGGCCAAUCCUUCGAAAAUUUUACAGCAAACAGAACAUGACUCUUUAUUCUCAUUUGCCUCAAGUAUUUCCUUGAUACAUAAUUAGAAAUCUGCACCAACUAAGUAUGAAAAGCGGAUGGUAAAU